AUGUACAUUCCCACAACAUAACAUUAAUGCCUUGUAUCUCAUUAUAACUUUGUAGUUAAGUGCGCUUAGGCUAGAGUAGUACUAGGAUGGGUGACUGCCCGGGAAGCCCUAGUAUUUUACAUG
rnacentral:rRNA from 1 species